UGGGGAAUUUUGGACAAUGGGCGAAAGCCUGAUCCAGCAAUGCCGCGUGUGUGAAGAAGGCCUUCGGGUUGUAAAGCACUUUUGUCCGGAAAGAAAUCCUUGGCUCUAAUACAGUCGGGGGAUGACGGUACCGGAAGAAUAAGCACCGGCUAACUACGUGCCAGCAGCCGCGGUAAUACGUAGGGUGCAAGCGUUAAUCGGAAUUACUGGGGCGUAAAGCGUGCGCAGGCGGUUUGCUAAGACCGAUGUGAAAUCCCGGGCUCAACCUGGGAACUGCAUUGGUGACUGGCAGGCUAGAGUAUGGCAGAGGGGGGUAGAAUUCCACGUGUAGCAGUGAAAUGCGUAGAGAUGUGGAGGAAUACCGAUGGCGAAGGCAGCCCCCUGGGCCAAUACUGACACUCAUGCACGAAAGCGUGGGGGAGCAAACAGGAUUAGAUACCCUGGUAGUCCACGCCCUAAACGAUGUCAACUAGUUGUUGGGGGUUCAUUUCCUUAGUAACGUAGCUAACGCGUGAAGUUGACCGCCUGGGGAGUACGGUCGCAAGAUUAAACUUAAGG
rnacentral:rRNA from 1 species